AACAACCAAAAAGAAAAAUCGGUUUACGUGGAAGAGAUCAAAUAAUUCUAGUAAAUAAUAACUCAAUAAACUAAUUAUUACUACUUUAGAUUGUUAAAAAGAAUUUAUAUAAAAAUUUUGCACAGAAAGAAUCAUGAUUGAAGUAACAGAUUUACAAAAAAUCGGCAUUGGCCUGGCUGGUUUUGGUGUCUCCUUUCUAUUUUUGGGUGUGCUAUUUCUUUUUGAUAAAGGAUUAUUAGCAAUCGGCAAUUUACUUUUCCUAAGCGGUCUUGCUUGCGUAAUUGGCGUCCAGCGUACAUUCCGGUUUUUCUUUCAAAGGCAUAAAGUUAAAGGAACUACAGCCUUUUUUGGCGGAAUUUUUGUAGUACUACUUGGUUUUCCUAUGAUUGGUAUGGUUAUUGAACUGUAUGGAUUCUUUGUAUUAUUCAGCGGAUUCUUCCCAGUGGCAAUCAAUUUCUUGGGACGAGUGCCUGUGUUAGGUUCUGUUCUGAAUGCUCCAUUUAUCCAAAAGCUUGUACAAAAACUUGGUGGUGAUGGUAAUCGAACGACGGUAUAGUAGAACUCCAAACAGAUUUUCAACUAAGGAUAAUUUUAAUAUACUAGUUUAUUUCUCGGAUGGCUUAAAUGUAAAGAGCUGGCUAUUUUGUAUAAAAAUACCUGAUUCCACUUUCACAUGAAAAUAACCGACUUAAUGACGAUUUUUGUAUGCUCAAUUUGAAAACGGACAUACUAAUUUGCAUAUACUGUGGCUGCAACAAUGGUGACGGCGAAUGCGGCAUAUGAGCGAUGUGUAUACUUUCUAAAAAAAAACAUCAAUAAAAGAAAUUAGUAACAAA
rnacentral:misc_RNA from 1 species